CAAACGAAAACUUCAUCUCCUUCCUUCAGACUCAGAAGCGCGACGGCGUAGAUAACUUCCUCCGGCGAAAUACUCCGUCCGAUUCCACCGCCGCGAGCUAAAACGCUCUCACCUCUCGAGUUUCAAACCCUCUCUCUAUUUCAGUUAUUCUCACGUUAUCUCUCUUCUCGUCUCUUAUCUCUCCGAUCCAACAAAAUAACCGUGAAUCGCUUACAACAGCCGAACAACAAAUGCGAGAUUGAAAGGAUAAGGAAGAUUACUCGGAACAAAGACCGAAGAUGGAGUCACAGAAUACCAGAGAAAGGAGAUUCCACUUGAGACAUUGGCGAAAUAAACGCAAUUGAAUACCAGAGAAAAUUCCAGGUUUGAUCAUGGCUCGACGCAACAAGUUGCUGCUUGAUUGGUGAAAAUCGCAGCUCUGGUGGUUACCUAUUUCAUCGAGGAUCGUUGUCACCACAACAGUAACCUCUGCUAAUUCUUUAAAGUCAGAACAUCGAGAACCGGAACCCCUGCUCCCAAGAAGCUUAGACGGAUGAGACUCUACAAACACCCUUACUUUCUUACUCAUUGUAGUAGCGCAACUGAUGCAACAACAGUCCUUGUUAGAAUUGUGUACUCAACUUCAAUGCAUAGGUUUGAUGACAUAAUUGUGCCUCUCGCUUUGAUUUUUGUCUUUGCGAACCGAGACGUUUUUUUUCAUUUUGUUUCAAGGAUGGAAUAUGGUGCAGAGCUGCAGUAGAAUGCUCAUGGCGGUUUGUAAAUUAGUAAGCUCUAGCCUUGAAUGGAUACAUAUGUCAACGGGACAAGAGAUUCCUUUGCCUCAUCCAUGUGUGUAGGGAUGUUGCAGGUUCAUAGCUUGGUGUGGCAUGAAGCAUUUGUACUUUUAAGGGAUGGGACUGAUAUGGUGGUAUAGGCUGCAGCAGAGUUGGCAUCAAGUUUGGAGCAAGGUCUAUCAAGGUGGAAUACACCAUUGCUCGAACAACACGAAACGCCUAUCAUCAUGGCACAAAUGAAAUAACUUGAAGAAAUGGAGAAAGAGAAGGAUAGGUUUUAGGAAGUGUUGUAUUUUUCGGUGUAAUUUUUCUUUGUAAUUGGAUUUUUGUAAUCUUAUUUGAAUGAAUGUAAUCUG